UAUACCAGGGUGCUACCCCGGCUGGCUCCCAUGUAGCUAAGAUUUUCCUGAAGACUUCUGGAACUGUCAUGGGUAACAAGGGCACAGAAUUCGCAGUAGGCCACUUCCUGGCCCCUUCCAGGAAUGGAGCUGACAUCACAUCCACAUCCCCC